ensembl:lncRNA
GGGGAGGUGGAGGCGGAGGCGUCUCCAGCGGGAGCGGGAGGGCCUGAAGGACCUGUACGCCAGCUUCAGACACGGACACGCACAACCAAACGUCAUCAGCACAAUGAGAGUGACGGGGCAACACACAGGCAAGCGAGACUAAGUGAGUCUGAGCAUUCAUGACGUGCAGCAUGCCGUUGAUUAUAUAAAAUGGUUUAGUGCUACAAGGUGACUGUUAAGAGGUGUGCUACAAGGUGACUGUUAAGAGGUGUGCUACAAGGUGACUGUUAAGAGGUGUGCUACAAGGUGACUGUUAAGAGGUGUGCUACAAGGUUACCGUUAAGAGGUGUGCUACAAGGCGACUGUUAAGAGGUGUGCUACAAGGCGACUGUUAAGAGGUGUGCUACAAGGUGACUGUUAAGAGGUGUGCUACAAGGUGACUGUUAAGAGGUGUGCUACAAGGCGACCGUUAAGAGGUGUGCUACAUGGGGAGUUUAAUCAAAUCCACAUUACCACCACGUGAGUGAGGACGGCACGUCUACCACCAACAAAGACGGCUACAUCACCUGAUAAACCUACCUUUGUCCUUCAAGCAUCAGCUUUAGCGACCGGCAAAUGAAAAAGUUGCAGUUAAUGCAAACAUACUGACUCCAGAAUAGAUAUCCAAGGCAAACGUUACAGUGCGACGCGUCCGGUGUGGUGCCAGUUACCCAUUUCUCCGUCAGUGACCAAAUGGACCAGCUCCUCGUCCGUCACCUCUGUGGUGGGGGGCGGCGGAACCGAGGGGCGCUGGUCUCUG